ACAAAGAAACGACAUUUAAAGUUUAUUUUAUAGCACUUGUUUAAUUAUAUCAGUAUUUUAUUUAUAAGUUUUAAUUUUACUUUAAUAACAUAACCUAAAAAUCCACACUUUGUCUUCGAUCACGUCAAUUCUCCGUUUUACUACUUGUGGCUCCAUCUAACGUGUCUGGUAAACAACUUACAAUCGCGCGGAGAGCGUCAAAAUAUCAUUAAAGGCGGUUGCAAAUCCGACUACAAGGCAUGGUGACUCCUGCCGAAACUCCCCAAGGAAGAGGCCUGUGAAGGCCAGCAGUGAUCAGUUAACGGCUGAUAUAAUAACACUGGUCUACAUCAAAUUUACUUUUUACAUGGAAAUGUACUAUAUUGAUUGUAUUUCACUCGCUAAUGAUACAUAUAUAUAUACAAGUUAAAAUUCAUAGUUAGCUCUUAUUGUGCAUUUGUGCCAUAUAUAAUAUAAUAGCGGGCAGUGCCAUAGAUUUAUCACAUUAAUGAUGAUAAUUCAACAUAUUUAGUGAUUACCCGCGGAAAUUUUAUUAAUUCAUAUUUAUUAGUUGAGUUUAACGCUAACUGUAUUUUGUUCAACAGUUAAAACGUGAAAUUGUUGUUUUUUUUUUUAUAAUAGUGAAAAUUUAUUUUAGUGAAAAAUCUACAGUUUUCAUUAUGUCGCGUAAAUGUGGUUAUAACAAUGGUGUUGGGUUUACAAAUAGGCUAUAUCAAGUACUGUUUUUUUUUUGUGUGAGUCGGGCUAGAUCUUUACAUUACAUAAAAAUAUAUUGGAAUCGUGAACAAAGCCUGAAUCCUGAAGAAAAGUACAUCAAGCAUCUUCCUCUAGUAAAUUCUCAAAAAAAUCUUCGACCACCGUUACAUAUUAAAUUGGGACUAAUGAAAAACUUUGUGAAGGCUCUCAACAAAAAUGGAUCAGCAUUCAAAUACCUGCGAAGUAAAUUUCCUCGUAUAAGCGACGCCAUAAUAAAAGAAGAAAUCUUUAUCGGACCUGAUAUAAGAGAGAUUCUGAAGGAUCAAAACUUUGAUCCAGUUUUACUGGGCUUUGAAAAAGAAUAAAAAAGAAGAAUUCCACUAAGAUAUCUUGACAAUAGAAGAGAGAUACGAUGCCGAUGGAAGGCGUCAAUGUUAGCGGACUACUUCUGGAAUUUGAGAAGAGAUACCCCUAACAGCGAUUACAAAAGACAAACGAAAAAGAAGAGAAAAUCAUAAUUAAAACACGUUUAAAUAUUUUGUUAAUAUUUCUAUAUUCCGAAUUUCAUAUAAAAAGUAAAAAAUAAUAAUAAAUAAAUAUUGUUUUUUUUUUCAAUAAAUUGUUUUGUACUUUAACGUGUUACUAAAAGUCACAUUUUGUAUUUUAGGUAUAUUUCCAAAAUAAGAGCUAAUUAAAAAAAAAUAUGCGUGUUUUAGUAUUUAGUAACCUCAAAGCAGUAUGAAAAUAUAGUAUUCAAUUUAAUGGCACACAAAAAGUUAAAUUUUGUAGACCAGUGUAAUAUAUAAAACAUGUACCUAUCUAAUGCGACUGUCCGAACAAAAAGAAAACAUAGCAGUUGGAAACCUGGUAGACCAAUGUAAAACUUAGCUAAAAACAAGAAGCAUCUAUUGGCAACUAAAUCAUUUAAACAAUUUUUAUUAAAAUUGGAAGGGAGAGGUAAGACUUUUUAUCUUGGUCAGUCUAUAUAUAUAAUAAUUAACUAUAGUGUAUUUCCACUGGUACAUUCAAAUUUACUGACGCAUAUGUGUUAGCAGAGUAGCGCAUGCAAUAACGCAUGCGUUUCUCUCUCUUUUCAUUUAAGAGUUCUCUUGUCGGUGCAGCUAAUUCACGCAUUUUCUUCCAGCCAGUUUGAUUCCAUGUCAUAUCUUGGAUCUCCUUGUACGAUAUGACUCCUAGUGUUUCCUUUGUCUGUCCCAUGUAAUUAUUCCUCGGUCUUCCUCUUCCUCUUUUGCCCUCUAUUUUUUCUUCUACUAUGCUCUUUAAAAAAUCGUCAUAUCGUAUAAACUCGCUCAGCAUUUUGCUUCUUUUAUUCUUUUUUGUUUUAUUAUUGUUCUUUUCUCAUUCAUCCUUUUCAAGACUUUCUGAUUCGGUACAUUUUCUGUCCUACUUAUCCUUUCCAUUCUCCUCCAUGUCCACAUUUCAAAUGCCUCAAGCAUCUUUCUUUCCUUUUGCGUCUAUGUUUCACACCCAUAUAAUGCUAUGUUCCGGGGCGAAAGGGAUUGUUAGCAAUGGAGUUUGACAGCUCCAUUGCUAGCAAUAUACCUUUUUAGGUCGACCUCUACGUGGUUCUCCCUGGAAUGGUUUCCAGUUUUCGUGAACAAUUCCUGUUGAAUUCGUCACGAUGGGCUAACUGACCUACUCUAUCCUCAUCUAUCAUCUUUUACUGGUGCUCCGCCGGUGUAUACCGAUAGCACGGGUGGGGUUACCAUUCCAUUAUCAUCCAUUACAAAAGAAUGCAAUGUUCCAAAUGUAAGUUUUUAUAAAUUUCUUAAGGAUAAUUUUUGAUAUUUUCUAUGUAUAUAUGUUUUUCGUUAUUAUAAACCUGUAGCGUACUCUGUGAUUAUACUUCCUAAGUAGUUAAAGUUCUUAAUAUUUUGGAUAAGUAUGUUAUUUAUCUUUAUUUGACUUUCCUUUUGUAUUGUAAUUGGUUUUUUAAGAAUAGUGUGUAUUUUGGUUUUAUUUGUGUAAAUUUUGUGUAACAUUUUCCUUAAAAAUUGUAUCCAUAUUAAUUUGAUAAUAUUUCUAAAUCUUUACGUGUUUCUGCUAUUACUGCUAUGCCAUCACCAAAUUUAAUCUAUUUAAUUAUUUUCCUAUUGAACUGGACAUCUUUAUCGAUAGAAUGUCUUAAAUUUUUCUUAUAGCUGUCCUCUGUAAAUAGUUAAAUAUGAGUGGUGGACAACCUUGUCUUAUUCCUUGACGAAUUCUUACUUUUCCUUUCUUCUCUCGUAUUUUUUACAGUUUCUUGAUAUUUAUAUAUUUCGUAGACUAUUCUUCUAUCCCUGAAAUCUAACCCCGAAUCCUUUAGUAAUUCCAUCAUUUUCUUCCAAUCUACUCUAUCGAAAGCCUUCUCCAGAUCUACAAAAGCGAUAUGUGUAUUCUUCUAUUGUAAGUCUCAGCGCUAAAAAUGCCUCACGCGUACCUCUGUUUGCUUUAAAUCGAUACUGUCUUUCCCUAAAUUGACUUUAUAUUGAUCUUAUUCUAUUUUGUAUUAUUUUAAAAAUUAUCUUGUAAGUGUGAUAUACCGGUUAAGGUAUUGAACUGUACCAUACGAAAUAAAAUUUGUUUAAGUUUAAAAUUGUUUUUUGUAAUAAAAAUAUUGCCUUUAAACCUUAUUAAAAACGAAACAGUGAGCACUGCUUGCAAUGUAAAACGUAAUAAAUGUCGUUUGUUUCAGGACAAAUUCAAAUAGUGCCUAAUUCUCGGGGAAAAGAAAUUAUCAUGUAUAAGAAUUACACGUUCUCCUAUCGUAAUAACAGGCGGUUAGCGGUUUGUUCUAAAAUCAUCAGCAAGAAAUGCAAAGCUCAGCUUAAAUUUAUGCCCGACGGAAAGACCAUAUUGCUCGCUCACACCGAACACAAUCACGAAGCGCCCGUGUUUCAUAAAAUGUCUAAUGGUGAGUAUGGUGUUUAUACCGCAGUCUCUCGCUUCUCAAAGGAACAGCACACAUAAUACCAGUUGCGCAAAAUAAGACUGCGGUCAUGUACAGAAAUUAUACUUACUCAUACAUAGGUACUACUAAGCGACAUUUGAUUUGCUCAAAGAAGAGAAGUGGUGGAUGUCCAGCUCGAUUAAAAGUGGAUAAUAACUUAAAAGUGCUAUUCGCAGACGUGACCCAUAAUCACCGACCACCAAUAUUCAUUAAAGGCAUUCAAGGCAUUUAUCAUAGAGUUUAAUUAAUUCAAUUUAUGAAAUUUUGGCUUUUGGUCACAAGAAAAUAUCAAUGUUUUGCUCUUUGAGGGCAAAGUAUUAAACUUAGUUGUGACCAUUUUGUGUUACUAUGGCGCAUUCACGAGAUAUUGGCGCAUGAAUUUACAAAUAAAUAUUAUUGUACAGAUUUAACAAUAUCUAAUCAUUUAGACAGUUUUGUUAACCAUUGUUUAUUUUAUUAGAACAACCUGUGCGAGACAAUGUUUUAACUCUUUGCAUUUUGGUGUCGCCGUAUUUGCGAUAUUAAAAUGCUAACAUUAAAUCCACUGUCGCGGCUACGGCGACACGGUUGUUUUACUGACUCAGAUAUACCCAUUAUAAAAUAGUUAAGUAAUAAAUGUUUUGUUUUUUAAUCACAGGUAUGUACUUGUAACUAAUAUAGUGCUGGAGUUAUUUCUAUCCUCUAUGAGUUACUAGGCUGGAAUGCAGUGUUAAAUAUUAUUUGUAAUAGACCAAGAAUAUUUACAAUAUCUAUGGAUCGUCUCAUCUUUUAUUAAUACGUUCCCGAUUGAAGUUGCUUAAUUACAAAGUGAUUAUACGCCUGUUUGUUUAAAAAGUAAUUCCUCUUUGCAGAUAAGAUCUGCGUGCUACAUUUUCCUGGCAACAAAUCUAUUGCACUAUAUAAAAAUUAUACAUACUCGUAUGUAACUGGCAGAGUGAACCAUUUGGUCUGCUCUAAAAAGAGAAGGGGGAAUUGUCACGCCCGUCUGAAACUCGACGAUGACGGAUAUGUGAUCUUUGCUACCGGAGUACACAAUCAUCCGCCUCCAAAUUUUCAUAUAUCAUCCAAUGGGACAUAUAUUAAGCUGUAGUAUUAUAAUAAAGUCGAUAUCACUAUAAUUCCGAUCAUGGUAAGUUUUCGAUCUAGUGAAGUUAUUAUUAAGAAACAUUGUAUUUAUAUUAUUUGAUAAUUCAGUUUCGUUCUAGUCAUGAUUAAUUUGAAAGUAUUUGCCACGCCGACAUCGAGCCGGGAACGAACCUUAAUCGGCAUUAUAGUCAGGGGUCUACCAUGAAAUGAAAUACCGAAUUUUCGGACUCAAUUUCGUGUUUUUAUUCAUACCAAAAUCAGAUCAGUAAAUGGAGCUUAACAUUUUGUUUAUCAUAAAUCCUACCAUAAAAGUACAAUGGAACGAUAUUUUAACGCUUUUAAUAUUUUAAAACGGUAUGGUAUUAUGUAACUUUAAAAUGAAAUUUGUAUUCAGUUCGGUUUCGAAAUUUUGAUAACAUUUCACGGUAGACUCUCUAAAUCUAGUCUUUUCAAUAUCGUGUGUUCAAAACGUAUAACAAAAGGGAAAAGUUAUUUUUCAACGCAAUCGUGUAUUUCUCUAAAGCUUUGGGGUUUUUUUUUUUUUUUUACUAUAAACUUCAUUAAAACAGUUUAAAGAAAAUUAAUGUAAAUUAAUUUUGUAAGAAUUAUUGUGUGUGAUAAUAAUAAUUUGUAAGUUUAUUGAACAUGUACGUUUUCUACACAGGAAGUGUGACGUACUUCUGUACAGAAAGUAGACUUGACCUUAAUUUACUAGUAUGAGAUAAGUAGCAUAUUGGAGUCCGCUAGUCAAUUCUUAAUGUUAAAAGUAAAUAUCGUGCCAAGCAACAUAAAUUGUGUCAUGGUCAUGUUGGAAUGUGAAAUAAAAAAAAAAUCACCAACCAUUUCAAUUAUUUUUCGUGUUGAGUAUAUCAUACCAGUCUUAACUGUCCAAUGCUGAACAUAAGUGAGUUUUUACUACUAGUAAAAAACCUGUACCUUUGAGUGUUUUACUAGUAGUUGCUACGCUUGGCAGGCGGAUUGGUAACCGCAGCUAAGCUUUGGAGACGUUUUAAGAGGGAUGCUGCUGACCUUCCCUCGCUCUCCUAAGUCGCUUCUUACGACGCCCAUAUGAAUGGAAGAGGUGGCGUUUUCUAUGCCGCCACGAGGAUUUCGUGUAGUAUCCAAUGGGAUAUACAUUAAGCUGUAGAAUUAAACUUAUUAUAAGUAUUUAUAUUCAACAAAUAUUCAACAAAAAAUGCUAACGCAGGAGGUACUUAAUUCGGUUGUAUUUUGUUAUGUUUGUUACCUCAUAACUCUGUCAGUUCUAAACCGAUUUGGAAUUCUUUUUAUCUGAAAAGAUACACUUACUGAUUAGUUUUAUAGAAAUUUUAACAAAAUCAGUUCAGUGGCUUAUUUAGUUUUUAGAUUAAAACAAUUAAGGUUUUUUUUUUUUUGUGGGACACAAUCUUUAAUCUGUUAUAGUUCAUAUGGAUAGAUAAAACAAUUGUCUUGGUUUUUACUGUUUAGCAAUAAUUUGUCAUAAAUUUAUCUGUGUCAAUUAUAGUGUUUUAUCUCCGUCAAGAUAGAUUCUUUAUUUAGUAAAAAUGUUAAAACUGUCUAAAGUGUUUAUUGUAAAAAUGUAGUAGUAUAAAGUGUUUGUUUUGUGUGUUUAUAUGUAUUGUGUAUUUAAAAAUUGCGUGGAUUGUCAUUUACUUUACUCUUGAUUGUAUUUUUAUUCUUUUUGGCAAUUUUCAGGUGACGAACAGAUAACGGUUCUACCUACAACUAACAAUAAAGUUAUUUUAAUGUAUAAAAAAUAUUCUUUUUCAUAUAAGAAUGCUAAAAGCAAAACUUUGGCUUGCUCAAAACGACUAAGAGGCAAAUGUCCUGCUAAAUUAAAAGUGGACUCUGAGGGGAACGUGGUGUUAUCAGUAAAUGAACAUAAUCAUUCACCGCCAAAUUAUCACAAAACUGCCAAUGGUUUAUAUGUUAAGAUAUCUUAAGUUUUUAAUAAAUGCCGUCUAAUAAUGAUGAGAACUUGAAACGUGGAGGCGCACCUGAUUUAAUUAUUAAUGAGAAAUCUCAUUUAAACUUUUGUUUUAUUCUCUUUUUAAAACAAAAAACUGUACUAUGACCUUUUUAUUUAAUACCUCAUCACAAAAUUUGUCAAACCAGUAAUAUUUAGGAUAGGAAAGGAUAUAUAUUAUUUUUUUCAGGCAAUCAACAAUUUCAGUCAAAAAACAACAACAAAGGCGGAUAAAGUUUAUUUUUAUUUUCAACUUAGAAUAGCAAACAAGUUGACGGCCCACCUGAUGGAAAAUGGUAACCGUUUUGCCCAUCACACCUCCCCAUGCGUUACCAUUCUUGAGGACUCAGGUGUCAUUCCUCUGUACCCUGUAAAUUUACUGCCAUAUCACACCCUUCAAAUCGAAACACAGCCAUGCAAACAUAACUGCUUCACAGUAGAAACACGAAUAAGACAGAGGCACCCAAGCAAACGAUUUUCGUACAAAAUUUCUCUCUGGUAAAGUGUCAAAUAAAGACUAGAAGAGCAUGAUUGGUAUAAUUUACUGAACAGAUAUUAAUACUUCUUUAAACGUACCGUGAAAAAGUACUCACUGAUCCGUCAUAGUGCGGCUAAUCGUUGAAAGUACAGUUCUAUUCUCGGUUGGUCGUAUUCAUGGACCAUGUCGUCUGUAUUCGCUAAGCAUGAUGUGGUCACAUGUCGAGCUAAUAUUAAAAAAAAAACACGUCAAAAAAAACUAAUUUAAAUCCAAUUGACACCUAAUUGGUAUUUGUUGUUUUGUAUGCACAUUUUUAGAGUAUCUUUAUCCCAUUUUGUGUACGUAAGUGAAUUAAUAAAUUUCUAUAAUUCUCUUACUAAUUAAUUACUGUGGUACAAAGUGAUCUAUAUAUAUAA